rnacentral:rRNA from 1 species
AUACAUGCAAGUCGANGAGUUCUGAUUAUUGAAAGGUGCUUGCAUCUUGAUUUAAUUUUGAACGAGUGGCGGACGGGUGAGUAACACGUGGGUAACCUGCCCUUAAGUGGGGGAUAACAUUUGGAAACAGAUGCUAAUACCGCAUAAAUCCAAGAACCGCAUGGUUCUUGGCUGAAAGAUGGCGUAAGCUAUCGCUUUUGGAUGGACCCGCGGCGUAUUAGCUAGUUGGUGAGGUAACGGCUCACCAAGGCAAUGAUACGUAGCCGAACUGAGAGGUUGAUCGGCCACAUUGGGACUGAGACACGGCCCAAACUCCUACGGGAGGCAGCAGUAGGGAAUCUUCCACAAUGGACGCAAGUCUGAUGGAGCAACGCCGCGUGAGUGAAGAAGGCUUUCGGGUCGUAAAACUCUGUUGUUGGAGAAGAAUGGUCGGCAGAGUAACUGUUGUCGGCGUGACGGUAUCCAACCAGAAAGCCACGGCUAACUACGUGCCAGCCNCCGCGGUAA